ensembl:snoRNA U3 Small nucleolar RNA U3
AAGAUCAUACUUUCAGGGAUCAUUUCUAUAGUCUUUGACUUGAGAAAUAUCGCAGGGAAGUGAUCAGUUACUCACCACGAUGAAGAGAACCGAUGUUCCCUUCUGAGCGCCAUUAUUCCAGUGAGUGAUGAUGUAUUUCAUCCGCUCCUUGCCAUUGAUGACCGUUCCAUGCUCUCUAGUGGAGCCUGGAUGUGGGGAUCAUGAUCAGAGUGGU